UCGAUCUCCUCCUCGUCCUCCCGCUUGUCCUCUUCCCCCUCGUGGUCGCUCCCGUAGGAGUUGCCUUCCUCGUCCGUCCGGCUGCGGGGCGCCCAGUGAGUGUUCUGGGCACUAGAAGGCCUAGCAGGAAUGCUCCGGAAGAAUGAGGCUUACACGCAGCAAAGUAGAGAGUUAUUGGCUUUAAUGAAGAUGGAGAAACAGAAGCGCAGAUCGAUCAAGUAGCUCUCUCAAGGUCACGCGCCAAGCCAGCACCAGAACCAAAACUGGAACAUAGAACUCAAACUCUGACAAUGAGGUUAUGCUGCCUCCCAUAAGAUAUGAUUACAAUGACAAGGGAGAAAAUAUGCUUCUGUACUCCAAAGCUGAAUGUGACAGAGAGAGACUUCUGCAAGCCUUGCUCGGACAGAAUUGUAAAACUCAAGUCUUGUAGUUAUGAGGUUAUGCCUGGUUGUUGUGAGAUAAAUAUGGGUGCAGCUUAUGCAAAUUGCAAAACUAUUAACCACGACUGGUAAAUGGUUUUCAACGGUGAGGUUGUGAUUGAAAAUGACACCUAGAUACUUACCAUUAUUCAUUACCUCUGACAAAGUCAUUUCUAUAAGUUGGGGAUGGGACAUGAACGAGAUGAAAGCAGCCUCAUGGCACAGUUUUGGUCUUCAAAGCAAUAUUCACAGGUAUUUGGUAAAGCUUUGUUAUCCUCAAUUAUAUAAUGGUGUACACUAUACGGGUCACAAAUAAUUAGCACAGAGUUUUUAUAAAUAGUAGCUACAUGUGUACCUGGGGCAGAAUUCUUAUGCCAGCACCGUGUGCAAAUGUCUCUUUUACAUAAAUGAAAAUGACAUAAUUGGUAAUAAGUUUAAUUUAGUCCAGGUCAGCUGUAUAUGGUAAGGCAUAAAGGCUAAUUUGGCAUCAAUAUAGCCAUAUGAUAAUGUGAGAGUUUAAAGAAUGAAGAACUUGAUUUUCUUCUUGAAAACACCUAUAUGACUAUGUCUCAUGCUCAAAGAUAUAAUCCCAAGGAAAAAAUGUGGCACUUUCAAAGGUUAAAUAGCUGUCACAGAGGGAGUGAUCCCUGGCUGCCAUUUUGAAUUCACUCUUCUGAGGAGCCAGAGUUUUACAGUUUUAAGUUCCUUUCCCCCACUCUUCAAAAUGAUGAUUUCAGUGUUUGAAAUCACAUGACUGGAUUCACACUUCUGAUGGGCGGGGGGGGGGGGGGCAGAGUUUGAGGACAAAAAUGCCGUUGGAAAAAAUAACCUCUUCUGACUUUUCUUUUUUGGUCAACCAGACCUAGCAUAUUAUAAUAAAAAAAAUCCCUCUAGCCUUCAAUUCUUCAUAGGCACAAGAAAGCAAAUAUUGUUGAGGAUAUCCCCAGACACACUGGAACUGGUGCAAUUCUAGUCCAAAGAGGACAGUCUGAGUCACAGGGGCUGACAUCUCCCACACAGUGUAGAGAACAAUUCCCUGGCAUGACUGUUAUGUUCUGCAAUUAUGUGCAUCCACUGGCCAUUGUUCCCAGUGAAGGUGCAGGAAUAUUAGAAACAUAAUGUCUUGACUUCAGCAGGUUUAAAUCUGAACUCCCAAACAUGAUCAUAGUCCAAAGUUUUUUUUUGUAAUGGUGGGAAUCCAUAUUUAUUCUGCAGUGACGCUGUCGAUAAAAUAAACUUGUUUUUCCAGUCACCACAAUCCAGCCUGGGAUCUGAAAACUACUGUUCUUUCUGGUCCUUACAUUAUCACUGGCACUAAAGAUUUUAUCAUCUGAAUUUAGCUGCCAAUUCCGUUGAUGACACACGAGGCAGAAUAUAAUGUUUUAUGCUUCCAUAGCUCAUUGCCUCUGCAACAUUGACAGGGAUAUGACUCUUCUUGUCGUGACGUUGGGUUGAGGGUGACUGUAUGAUGGCAUGGAGUGGCUGCCCUGGUGACCUUUCCUUCAGAUCUCUGCACAGCUGUGCUGAGGAUAACCUCCUGUAGUUGGUCAAAAUCUGGUGUCUCUGAUCCUGAUUUGGGACAUUAUACAAAGCUCACUGAAGUCAUGGCCUUGCUGCUGCACCUCAUCUUGCUCCCUCUUAUUCAUUCAGUGUCUGUUGGCAGCAGAAAGCCUGCAACUUCUUUUCUUUUCUUCCCUCUAUCCUUCCUGAGCUGGUUUCACUGGUCUUGGGGUGGGGGUUGGGGCAGGUUGGUGCUUGGGAAUAACAGCUGUGAUGUUGCGCUUCAUAUGUUUUAUGGAAAUAUGCUUAUGAGUGUGAAUGUAAUGUAACUGGAAUAUGCUUUAUGCAAAAGGUUUCUUG